AAAAAAGAAAAUGAAAAGAAAUGAAAAAAAGAGAAAUAAAGAAAAAAAAAGAGGAUUAGAAAGUUGGUUUGUCGUUUGUGAAAAGGGAAACGGUUUUUCUGAAAAAAGGACAAGGCGUUUGGGAUGACAGAGGCGAUAUGGCUUUUGGCAUAUGCGAUUUGGUUUUGGCAAGAAAAGAAGGACAUCACACUCGGAGGCUCCCCUAGGAUCAUUCUUUCACACACCUAUAACCAUGGACACCAGGUUUUGACAAGGAGUAUCAUCCAGAACCACCUCAACAAAAAUCACUCACACUACAUCUCACCACCAUCACACACUACAGACAAUUCCCCUAGGACUCACCAUUACCUCCUUACCACAUCUUAACCGUUUCCUCUGCUCUCCAAUACCACUGGUUCCCAAUUCAUCACCCAACAGAUUCAUCAUUGUUACCUCUGACCAUUCUCCAUGGCUUCCACCACCUGCCAUCUCCAUCUAAGGCCUCCAUAGUCUUGGAGGAGCACAGUCAUUUUCACCAUCACAGACUGUGCCUCAUUGUUUCAACUCAUCACCAUUAUACAUACGACACCCCUUUUUUCUUACCACGAACACCACGCCUCAUGACACACUGAUUUUGG
rnacentral:lncRNA from 1 species